GUGGGGAAUAUUGGACAAUGGGCGAAAGCCUGAUCCAGCCAUGCCGCGUGUGUGAAGAAGGUCUUCGGAUUGUAAAGCACUUUAAGUUGGGAGGAAGGGCAGUAAGUUAAUACCUUGCUGUUUUGACGUUACCAACAGAAUAAGCACCGGCUAACUUCGUGCCAGCAGCCGCGGUAAUACGAAGGGUGCAAGCGUUAAUCGGAAUUACUGGGCGUAAAGCGCGCGUAGGUGGUUCAGCAAGUUGAAGGUGAAAUCCCCGGGGUCAAACUGGGAACUGCCUCCAAAACUACUGAGCUAGAGUACGGUAGAGGGUAGUGGAAUUUCCUGUGUAGCGGUGAAAUGCGUAGAUAUAGGAAGGAACACCAGUGGCGAAGGCGACUACCUGGACUGAUACUGACACUGAGGUGCGAAAGCGUGGGGAGCAAACAGGAUUAGAAACCCGGGUAGUCC
rnacentral:rRNA from 1 species